rnacentral:rRNA from 1 species
GACAGAGGGGGCAAGCGUUGCUCGGAAUCACUGGGCGUAAAGGGCGCGUAGGCGGUUCUGUAAGUCCCGCGUGAAAUCCCCCGGCUCAACUGGGGAACUGCGCGGGAAACUGUGGGGCUUGAGUUCGGGAGAGGGAAGCGGAAUUCCGGGUGUAGCGGUGAAAUGCGUAGAUAUCCGGAGGAACACCGGUGGCGAAGGCGGCUUCCUGGACCGACACUGACGCUGAGGCGCGAAAGCUAGGGGAGCAAACGGG